rnacentral:lncRNA from 10 species
GUUGAGCUGUGGGGUUGGCCUUUGGCUGAGUCAGGUGGCUGCUUGAUUUCCUGGUUGAAGCAGUACUAGCAGCUCUGUUUCUCCAAAAUGCACAGAGGUGGCAGUCUUCCUUCCUAAUUCCUAAGCAGGAUCAUUAGUCAGUAUAGCCCCUUUACUUAUCUGAGAUCCACAGGGUAGAAGUCUCUCUUCCUGGAUGAGAUCACUGGGAAGGGGGUGGGGCAGGCGCGGUUCUGAGGCUGGGUUGGGAGGAAAGCAGUCUAGGAGCUUAAGCUAGAUUGUGCUUCCUAUCCUACUUCUAAAGGCUACCGUCUCAGCUUUGCAGGUGUAUUAUGAGAUUGGCUGGCAGCUAUUUCUGAUCAAGUUCUGCAGCUGGCAGGAAAGCAGAGGUGCCACGAAGAUCUGUGUGCUAGUCCUCUUUGUUUCUACCUGACUCACCAGGCAGUCAAGCCAUGUUGAUUUUACCACUGUUCCCUGGGAAGUCAGUCCUGACUGGGCUAUCUGAGAAUGCUAGGGAAGCUGGAUUCAGUUUUUGUUUUUCUUUCUCUCUAAAAAAAUAAAACUGAGUUAAGGAAAACUCUCUCUGUCUGGCACCAUGCCUGCUUGUUUGGAGUGAGACCAUUCCUCCUACCCUUUGAAAUUCAGAUUGUGUUUCAUUCUGCUUGCCAUAUGAGUAUCUCAGGAUUAUUUCCAGAUGUUGGAGUUUUUAAAAGGAUGUUCUAUUCUAUGGAUAGUUACUAGUUGUUGGUGAGUUGGGCCCAAGACUUCUUACUCUAGAAUCUUGCUGAUGGCACUCCCAUAGAAGAAGUCAUUUUAUUUACACAAGCACAUUACAUGAAACCAUUGGUGGAUGAGAUCAAAAUGUGAUCUGAAUGUACCAAGUAAUACAAAAGCUGAUAUGAACCUGAAUUCUUCCCAAAGGAAGAAAACUGCAAAUGCCAGAGCCCCAAUUUAGGUCUAUAUUUUUUUCUAAUUUGUCCACCAACAUUUCUCCAAAAAUGAAGAUGUUCUCAUUUUCUCCACAUCCUUCUCAUUAUCUACUUGCAGCUCUCCAAUGAUUAUUAUUAUACUAACCUGUUCAUGGAAAUGCUUUCAUCUAUUUUUUUCUAAUGGAAGCAUACUCACAUUUUUCCAUUUAUUUUUUUCCACUUUCAUCCAAGACAUAAGUUAUCCACCCUCUCCCACAUUCCAUUUUCAAUAUUUGACCUUAAAUAUCUCCACUUGUCAAGAUGACUGACAGCUAACACUAAGACAUCAGGUGCAAUACUGAAAUUUUUUUCUUAAGAAAAAGAUCUGGAAAAAUCUUACUAUACCUUUGAAUAUUUCUGUGUCUUUGAAUAUUCUUUGCCUUAACUCCCUGCAGGACUAGAAACUCCUAACUCUCCAAAUUUCCAUAUAAAAUGUGCAUUCUCAAGAUUGUGAACAUUAAGCAGAAUAUAUACUUUAUAAUUUGACCUCUGUUAUUUAGGGAAGUGUUCACAUUUUUAAAUAUGUAAAAUCAAGUGGAAAUGUGAAUGCAAGUCUAUACCAACACUAAUAAAAUAUUUCUUAUUCUCAAUACAAAAUUUCUCAACUUUUUUUCUGGAAACUGUUCUUUGGAAACCUUACCCUAAGCCCUCAAUCCUUUUUUUUUUUUUUUGAAAAAAAAUUUAAUACAAGACCAAAAAAAUUUAAUACAAGACCCUGGCUUCACUUAAAGUUACUUAAUGCCAGGAAAAUAAUGGAAUGCCUUUGUUGUUCCAAACUUUCUACAUAAGGAAAGUAUAAAAUGCAUCUUGUGUUUCCUACCUAAUUGAAAGGUGCUUUUGAAAUUAACUCUUGACAAUUAAAACUUUUAAACUUUAAUAUUCAGAAUUAAAAAAUAAGAAUAUAGUGACAUGUAAACUCAUUGUUCAUAGAAUGGUAAAUUAAUUGUAACUGACCCAAACCAAUAACAUAUAUCUAACAAACUGAACAAUAUUAGCAGCUGAGUUAAAUCAAAUGUAAAAUGUUUUUCUUUAAAAGGGGCAAAUUCUCAAAAAUAUGAGAAAAAUAGGAUUAUUUUUAAGUUUUUCCCUCUUUCUUCAUUGCAUGCAUUUCAAUGUCUUGGGCACUUUAUUUCACACUUCUAAGUGAAAUUUUAAAAUUUGUAACAUAUUCAGAAAAGUACACUAGUUAGUUACAGGGAUACCAGUUAAUGUAUUUUUUUAAGGAGUAUACAUUUAUCAUCAGUACCCAGAUCAAAAAUAUGCUUCAAAAU